UGGGGCACCUGGGUGGCUCAGUCAGUUGAGGGUCUGCCUUUGGCUCGGGUCAGGAGCUCAUGGUUCGCGAGUUUGAGCUCCAUAUUGGGAUCACUCCUGUCAGUGUGGACCCUGCUUUGGCUCCUCUGUGCCCCCCGCCCCUUUCUCUGCC